AGUUAAUGAACUUGUAUAAGUAUAUAUUUUGAAAAUAUAAAAAAGAGUAAUAAUCUCUAUUAACUU
rnacentral:tRNA from 1 species